rnacentral:tRNA from 2 species
GGGGCUUUAGCUCAGUUGGUAGAGCAGAAGACUCUUAAUCUUUUGGUCGUGGGUUCGAGCCCCACAGGCCCCACCA